CAUCUGUCUCGGUGUGAAGGUGGCAAGGACAACAUUUUAAUAACCAUAAACAGGAGACGUGGCCACUUGUUUGAAGGCGCUGCUGCCGCUUGUCAUACACAACGUGGAGCCCAGUCACAAAGCCCCAGGUGCCACCUGGGAAGGACCAGACUCUGCUUCUGUCAUAACAGGGCUGCUAAUGUCAUCUGGUUCCAACUGGGGAUCAACAUCCUGGUACUCCUCAUCUACUUCUUCAUCCAAGAAGGCCUCCUCCAGAGAUUUUCAGAGGCAACAUCUUGUGGGCACUGACUGGCCACUGUGUGAACAGGAUCCAGGCCUUGACACAGAAGACCAUGGGUGGAGAAAGCCUGUCCCCUGACUCCUACAUUUCUGGCCUCUGGAGGACUCCCCCAGAUUUUAAAAACAAGCUUGGAAGCACCUUGUGCCCAGAAUUCACACAGAGACCCGAAUCAGCUUGUUGUUGUUGCUAACUGCCUUCGAGUCAAUCCCAACUCAUGGUGGCCCUGUGGAUGAGACAUCUCCAAGACCCCUUGUCCUCCACUGCUCUGCUGAGGUCCUGUAAAUCCAUACCCAUGACCUCCCUAAUAAAGUCUAUCUGUUUAGGGAGAAGUCUUCUUCUCCUUCUUCUUCCCUCCACCUUUCCACCAGACUCAACACUCAAGUUAUAAUCCAGACUUUAAAGGAGGUGAUCAAGAUACCAAAUCUUAUCCUCCUCAUAAC